rnacentral:lncRNA from 1 species
UCAGGUCAAGGGCUGUGUAGAUGGAUGCUUUUGAGCCCUGCUACUCCUGACCCCCACCUUGAUCAUCCUGUGAGAGAGAGGUCUACUUCCUGUGCCCUCACCCCGGAGUGGACUGUGGUUUCUGAGGAGAAGUGGGAGCACAGCAGUCCAGAGGACAGAGAGAAGCAGUCACUCUCCUCCCUACACUUCAAGAGACAGAGCUAUUGUUUGUUGGAACAAUCAGAACGCAUCUCCCUACUGACAGAAACACAGCCCAGUGUAUAACUUGGGUAUUUUAUACUUUGACCCACGAAAGUCUGGGAUUUAUUUUUUUUUCUUAAAUUAGAAGGCGUACUCAUAAACAGGGACUAGAUACUCAAAUUUCUUUUAUCUUACAAAUAAAUCAAAUCAAAG